rnacentral:rRNA from 1 species
GAUGAACGCUGGCGGCGUGCCUAAUACAUGCAAGUCGAGCGAACAGACGAGGAGCUUGCUCCUCUGACGUUAGCGGCGGACGGGUGAGUAACACGUGGAUAACCUACCUAUAAGACUGGGAUAACUUCGGGAAACCGGAGCUAAUACCGGAUAAUAUAUUGAACCGCAUGGUUCAAUAGUGAAAUACGGUUUUGCUGUCACUUAUAGAUGGAUCCGCGCCGCAUUAGCUAGUUGGUAAGGUAACGGCUUACCAAGGCAACGAUGCGUAGCCGACCUGAGAGGGUGAUCGGCCACACUGGAACUGAGACACGGUCCAGACUCCGACGGGAGGCAGCAGUAGGGAAUCUUACGCAAUGGGCGAAAGCCUGACGGAGCAACGCCGCGUGAGUGAUGAAGGUCUUCGGAUCGUAAAACUCUGUUAUUAGGGAAGGACAAAUGUGUAAGUAACUAUGCACGUCUUGACGGUACCUAAUCAGAAAGCCACGGCUAACUACGUG